rnacentral:rRNA from 1 species
GACGAAGGAUGCAAGCGUUAUCCGGAUUCAUUGGGUUUAAAGGGAGCGUAGGUGGCCUUAUAAGUCAGUGGUGAAAUCUCGAGGCUUAACCUCGAAAUUGCCAUUGAUACUGUAGGGCUUGAGUAUAGUUGCCGUUGGCGGAAUAUGACAUGUAGUGGUGAAAUACAUAGAGAUGUCAUAGAACACCGAUUGCGAAGGCAGCUAACGAAACUAUAACUGACACUGAGGCUCGAAAGUGCGGGGAGUCAAACAGG